GAUGAACGCUGGCGGCGUGCCUAAUACAUGCAAGUAGAACGCUGAAGGAGGAGCUUGCUCUUCUGGAUGAGUUGCGAACGGGUGAGUAACGCGUAGGUAACCUGCCUGGUAGCGGGGGAUAACUAUUGGAAACGAUAGCUAAUACCGCAUGACAACAGUUAUUGCAUGAUAACUGUUUAAAAGGGGCAACUGCUCCACUACCAGAUGGACCUGCGUUGUAUUAGCUAGUUGGUGAGGUAACGGCUCACCAAGGCGACGAUACAUAGCCGACCUGAGAGGGUGAUCGGCCACAGGGGGACUGAGACACGGCCCAGACUCCUACGGGAGGCAGCAGUAGGGAAUCUUCGGAAAGGGACGGAAGUCUGACCGAGCAACGCCGCGUGAGGGAAGAAGGUUUUCGGAUCGUAAAGCUCUGUUGUAAGGGAAGAACGGGUGGGAGGGGGGAAAGUUCCAACUGGGACGGGAUUUUACCAGAAAGGGACGGCAAAUUACGU
rnacentral:rRNA from 1 species